rnacentral:rRNA from 1 species
GGAGGCAGCAGUGGGGAAUAUUGCACAAUGGGCGCAAGCCUGAUGCAGCCAUGCCGCGUGUAUGAAGAAGGCCUUCGGGUUGUAAAGUACUUUCAGCGAGGAGGAAGGCGUUGUGGUUAAUAACCGCAGCGAUUGACGUUACUCGCAGAAGAAGCACCGGCUAACUCCGUGCCAGCAGCCGCGGUAAUACGGAGGGUGCAAGCGUUAAUCGGAAUUACUGGGCGUAAAGCGCACGCAGGCGGUCUGUCAAGUCGGAUGUGAAAUCCCCGGGCUCAACCUGGGAACUGCAUCCGAAACUGGCAGGCUAGAGUCUUGUAGAGGGGGGUAGAAUUCCAGGUGUAGCGGUGAAAUGCGUAGAGAUCUGGAGGAAUACCGGUGGCGAAGGCGGCCCCUGGACAAAGACUGACGCUCAGGUGCGAAAGCGUGGGGAGCAAACAGGAUUAGAUACCUGGUAGUCCACGCCGUAAACGAUGUCGACUUGGAGGUUGUGCCUUGAGCGUGGCUUCCGGAGCUA